GACAGAGGAUGCAAGCGUUAUCCGGAAUGAUUGGGCGUAAAGGCGUCUGUAGGUGGCUUUUUAAGUCCGCCGUCAAAUCCCAGGGCUCAACCUGGACAGGCGGUGGAAACUACCAAGCUGGAGUACGGUAGGGGCAGAGGGAAUUUCCGGGUGGAGCGGUGAAAUGCGUAGAGAUCGGAAAGAACACCACGGCGAAAGCACUCUGCUGGGCCGACACUGACACUGAGAGACGAAAGCUAGGGGAGCGAAUGGGG
rnacentral:rRNA from 1 species